GACUAAGCAAAAGCAUUAAGUGAUCCACCUGGGGAGUACGAUCGCAAGGUUGAAACUCAAAGGAAUUGACGGGGGCCCGCACAAGCGGAGGAGCAUGUGGUUUAAUUCGAUGAUACGCGAGGAACCUUACCCGGGCUUAAAUGUAGGCGUGCAUUGGUGUGAAAACACCAUUUCCCUCGGGACCCGCUACAAGGUGCUGCAUGGUUGUCGUCAGCUCGUGCCGUGAGGUGUCGGGUUAAGUCCCAUAACGAGCGCAACCCCUAUCUUUAGUUGCUAACAGGUAACGCUGAGGACUCUAAAGAAACUGCCCGCGCAAGCGGUGAGGAAGGUGGGGAUGACGUCAAAUCAGCAUGGCCCUUAUGUCCGGGGCUACACACGUGCUACAAUGGCCGGUACAGUGGGCAGCUCAUGCGCGAGCAUUUGCUAAUCUCUAAAACCGGUCUCAGUACGGAUCGGAGUCUGCAACCCGACUCCGUGAAGCUGGAUUCGCUAGUAAUCGCACAUCAACCAUGGUGCGGUGAAUACGUUCCCGGGCCUUGUACACACCGCC
rnacentral:rRNA from 1 species